GCGCCCGUAGCUCAGUUGGAUAGAGCACCGGUUUUCUAAACCGGCGGUCCCAGGUUCGAUCCCUGGCGGGCGUGCCA
rnacentral:tRNA from 1 species